rnacentral:rRNA from 2 species
GGUGCUUGCAUCAUGAUUUACAUUUGAGUGAGUGGCGAACUGGUGAGUAACACGUGGGAAACCUGCCCAGAAGCGGGGGAUAACACCUGGAAACAGAUGCUAAUACCGCAUAACAACUUGGACCGCAUGGUCCGAGCUUGAAAGAUGGCUUCGGCUAUCACUUUUGGAUGGUCCCGCGGCGUAUUAGCUAGAUGGUGGGGUAACGGCUCACCAUGGCAAUGAUACGUAGCCGACCUGAGAGGGUAAUCGGCCACAUUGGGACUGAGACACGGCCCAAACUCCUACGGGAGGCAGCAGUAGGGAAUCUUCCACAAUGGACGAAAGUCUGAUGGAGCAACGCCGCGUGAGUGAAGAAGGGUUUCGGCUCGUAAAACUCUGUUGUUAAAGAAGAACAUAUCUGAGAGUAACUGUUCAGGUAUUGACGGUAUUUAACCAGAAAGCCACGGCUAACUACGUGCCAGCAGCCGCGGUAAUACGUAGGUGGCAAGCGUUGUCCGGAUUUAUUGGGCGUAAAGCGAGCGCAGGCGGUUUUUUAAGUCUGAUGUGAAAGCCUUCGGCUCAACCGAAGAAGUGCAUCGGAAACUGGGAAACUUGAGUGCAGAAGAGGACAGUGGAACUCCAUGUGUAGCGGUG